UGACCAGUAGGCAAGUGGUUAAGCCGCGAGCUUUAAGAACUCUCGUUUGUCGCGGGUUCGAAUCCCGUCUGGUCAA